CUUUACUACUGCUGCGGAAAAGAGGACAACACUCCACAUUUCUGGCAUUGUAAAUGACAACACCGCAACUGAAAGCAAGCUUGAAUUUCUGGGAGUAGCAUUAGGAUACAGGACCCCUGCUGAGCUCACCAGUUCCUUGCUCUACACAGCUGCUUUCUCAGCUGGGGUUUUGAAAUAAGCACUGUGAGAAAAGACAGAAAUGACCAUGAUGCAUCUUUCUCACUAUGAGAAAAAGUGCCAAUUUUUAGAAUGGAGGGUGUAGAUCCAUCCUUUGCAACUGGUGAGGACCUCCUCAGUAAGGCACUGAGCCAGGAGUCUAUACAGCCAUGCCAGCAGGGAGCACUGUCUUUCAUUGUCUGAUGUUUAUUGCAAACCUGUUCUUUUCAGCUUUUUGUUGUUUCAGCCUAGUCCAAAGACGUUUACAUCCUGGAAGAGAACUUGCUGGCUUUUCACCUCAGCAUGUAUGGGCCAAACUAAUAUAACAAGAAGUCUUGAGAGGAGUCAGCGGCCAAGCUCCAUGUCUUGCAGCCAAACAAUGCUGUGGGAUGGAAGGUGGGAUGUCAUGUGUCUGGUUUACAGCACUCACGUAUCAGUUGGCAGUUAACGGAAGUGCUACUGAUUGUAACAGUGGAAGCAAUUUGAAAUGAAAUACAACACUUAAAGCAAAUGAAACGGAAGUGAAUGCCAGCAGUAAAUGGCAAGAAGAAAUCCAGUUCAGUGUGUUCCUCAGAAAUCUUGCCUCUUGGGACUAAAUGCUGCAAAUGUAACUCUUAUCCUUGUUUUUCAAGUUUUACCAUCUCAAAGCUAUCCACUUUAUAUUAAAUUAGUUCUGUUAUAUUAUGUCAAUUUGUAUUCUUAAGAGCACAAGUUUGGCCUCAAAUAGACCUGAGCUGAGAUCCAAUUCUUUAAUUUAUCUGUGUUGUUUUCUUUUUCCUUAGCUUUAAAGUGGAAAAAAUGCUACUUACAUUUUAUUUAUGAAGGUUAAAGAUAAAGUGUCUGAUAUGGGACCUAUCAUAUGUGGUAGGCACUUAGUACAUGGUAGCAAUUAUGAUUAUUAUAUCUGAUAUUAGCAUUAUUAUUAUGAUUUGUUUUAAUCUUCAAAGUAUCAACUGUUUCUAUUACAUUUGUGGUAAAUACUCCUAAACAGAGUUUUUAAGUUCAAGUGUCCAAAGUUGUUAGAAACAAAGAUAUUUGACAAUAACAUAAUCAUAUCACAUGACCUCAUGAUUUAACCACCUCCCAAAGUUGCCACCUCCUAAUAUUAUCACCUUGGGGGUGAGGUUUCAACAUAUGAAUUUUAGAGGAACAUAAACAUUCAGACCAUAGCAAUAAUGAAGAUAAAGAGUUUAUUCAUAGAUAAAUGUUAAGAAGUAGAUACUGUUUGUUAGGAGAAGUGUCCACAGUUAGGGAGAAGUUAGAGGUCUGGUGUCAUCUUUGAUUUUUGUGUUUCUUCCGGAACCCUGUUGCCUGGCUUCCUACACUAUUUCUUGUGUCUUUUUCUUGUAGCUAAACUUGAACAUUUUUUCCUUGAGUACCAUUUUACAAUCAACUGUGCUUUUAUGCAGUGGACUUUCACUGAAUGUCCCCUAUUGGAAAUUUUAACAACAAUUUAACAACUAUUUAUUUGAUACUUUCUGUAUAACCAAUAUUAUUGAACAUCCUAGGAACACAUACAUAAAUAAAACUUGA
rnacentral:lncRNA from 10 species